rnacentral:lncRNA from 1 species
GGAAGGGGGAGGCAAAUCACAGCUUCUCCGCUCAACUCAGUUUUCUUAUUUUCAUUUGUGCCUACUCUGCAGGAGUGGAGCAAUGUCUGACAUGUGGUGCAUGCUCCAUCAGGACACACUAUCUAUUAUUUUAUCAUUAGCAGCAACGUUUCCAUCUCCACCAGCGUCACCACCAUCAUUGGCAUCUCCAUCAUCACCUUCCUGGGUGUCUCCCGGGUGUCUGAAGCCUUGCCUUCUGCUUCCGGGGAGGUUAGGGGGAAACCUAGACUCACCCAGGAGUAAAGAUCAACUUUAGAAAUGAGUCAGAGAAGUUGUUUGGAAGUGAAGGGACUCAGACAUCAGGACACGUGACAGUCCCAGGAAAGACAGGUCAUCAGGUUGGCAGAUCUGAGCCCCUGGGCCUGGAAAGCAAACCUAGUUGAUUUCUCCUAGGGCCUAAACACAUGUUUGCAAGCUUUCUGCCUGGAGCUACCUCCCUCCCAGCCCUGGAAUCCGGAGUCUUCAUCUUGUAGAUCUGAUGAAACUAAGGCAGAUCCAGAAACCAUGGCCCAUUCAAGGUCAGCUGGAAAUUUCGGAUGUCUGUGAAUAGACACAAGCCUCACCCUACCCUCUUGGAAACAGCAGAAAAACGGGGCUCAGUGAAUAUAAGGACAGACCCCCAAACAAUACACCUUCUGCC